AGUGAACGCUGGCGGUAGGCCUAACACAUGCAAGUCGAACGGCAGCACAGUAAGAGCUUGCUCUUACGGGUGGCGAGUGGCGGACGGGUGAGGAAUACAUCGGAAUCUACUUUUUCGUGGGGGAUAACGUAGGGAAACUUACGCUAAUACCGCAUACGACCUACUGGUGAAAGCAGUGGAUCUUCGGACCUUGCGCGAUUUAAUUAGCCGAUGUCGGAUUAGCUAGUUGGCGGGGUAAAGGCCCACCAAGGCGACGAUCCGUAGCUGGUCUGAGAGGAUGAUCAGCCACACUGGAACUGAGACACGGUCCAGACUCCUGCGGGAGGGCGCAGUGGGGAAUAUUGGACAAUGGGCGUAAGCCUGAUCAAGCCAUACCGCGUGGGUGAAGAAGGCCUUCGGGUGGUAAAGCCAUUUUGUUGGGAAAGAAAAGCAGCAGGUUAAUACCCCGCUGUUCUGACGGUACCCAAAGAAUAAGCACCGGCUAACUUCGUG
rnacentral:rRNA from 1 species